AACGAACGCUGGCGGCAGGCCUAACACAUGCAAGUCGAGCGCCCCGCGAGGGGAGCGUCGGGAGGGUGAGUAACGCGUGGGAAUAUGCCCUUUGCUACGGAAUAGUCUCGGGAAACUGGGGUUAAUACCGUAUACGCCCUUUGGGGGGAAGAUUUAUCGGGGAAGGAUUAGCCCGCGUUGGAUUAGGUAUUUGGUGGGGUAAUGGCCUCCCAAGCCGACGACCCAUAGCUGGUUAGAGAGGAUGAUCCGACACACUGGGAGUGAGACACGGCCCAGAAUCUUACGGGAGGGAGCAGUGGGGAAUCCAACAAUAUCGCGUGCACCCUGAUAGCGCUAUGGCGGGUGAGUGCUGAAGGGCUGAGGGUUGCAAAGCUGUUUAAGCUGCGAAGAUAAUGACGGUACCAGAAGAAGAAGCCCCGGCUAACUACGUG
rnacentral:rRNA from 1 species